CUUUGUCACAAAAUAUUACUCAUAAUGGACUUUUUAUUAUUGUACAGGGUAAACCAUUCCUGGAUAGUUACUUGCUUAUUAAUCUUUUCCCAUGUUAUGUUGUCUUGUCAUAUGGAAGAACAUUCUGAGAGGCGCCAACUUCAUGAGUUAACUGUAAAGAGGAAAGACCUGAAGCGAUGUGAUAACCGCGUAUGCGUCACUGAUGAUAGUGACUGUGUCGCCAGAUCUCAUGUGUCUCAUGAAAGGGUGAAUAUAUCAUGCUUUUUUCUACUCACGGACUAUGCUCUGACUCCGUAUCCUCAAUGCCUUUGGAGUCAGGAAUAUAACAUCAAUGCAGAAAGCAUGCACUCUCUCAUUUUCAGUCAGACCACUCCGAUUUAUUCUUGUAUGGGAAUCUUCAGCUUUGGUGGACGAAUGAAUGUAACUUUAAAAAUUAAGAACAACAUGAAUGGAAUGGAGUCGUGGUCAGAGCCCUACGAAGUGGCAGUACAAGAAGCAAUAAAAGCACCUUGUCCUACCAUCACAUCAGUGAAUGGCUCUGACAACUCACUGGAGGUGACAUGGGGGAUCAGCAAGUUGCACACUAGAUGUCGGGUCCGUUACCGAAUGGCCACUGACAAAUGGACUGAGGUAUUGACUUCAUUCUCUUCUGCUCUAACCUCACUACUCAAAUGGACUCAGGUAUUGACUUCAUUCUCUUCUGCUCUAACCUCAAUACCCAAAUGGACUCCGGUAUUGACUUCAUUCUCUUCUGCUCUCACCUCACUUUCCAGAAAUCUUCAAGUCUCUGACAGUGCACUUGU